rfam:Bacteroides sp. CAG:633 genomic scaffold, scf244
AGGCUAAUCUUCCUGAUUUUAUCUUUGGUGUAUGUGAAUAUACUUAGAUAGAUACUUAUGCCUCCCCGGCAUAGACAGGAUAGA